GACGAACGCUGGCGGCGUGCCUAAUACAUGCCAGUAGAACGCCGAAGGAGUAGCUUGCUGCUCUGGCUGAGUUGCGAACGGGUGAGUAACGCGUAGGUAACCUGCCUGGCAGCGGGGGAUAACUUUUGGAAACGAUAGUUAAUAUCGCAUAACAGCAGUUGUUGCAUGACAACCGUUUGAAAGGUGCAAUUGGACCACUACCAGGAGCACCUGCGUUGUUUUAGCGAGGUGGGGGGGUAAGGGCACACCAAGGCCAAGAUGCAGAGCCGAGCUGAGAGGGUGAUCGGCCACACCGGGAACGAGAAACGGCCCAGACCUCUUCGGGAGGCAACAGUAGGGAAUUAUCGGAAAUGGACGGAAGUCUGACCGAGCAACGCCGCGUGAGUGAAGAAGGUUUUCGGAUCGUAAAGCUCUGUUGUAAGAGAAGGACGAGUGUGAGGGUGGAAAGUUCACACUGUGACGGUACCUAACGAGAAAGCGACGGCUAACUACGUG
rnacentral:rRNA from 1 species